rnacentral:misc_RNA from 1 species
GAAAUGCGAUAAGUAAUGUGAAUUGCAGAAUUCAGUGAAUCAUCGAAUCUUUGAACGCACCUUGCGCUCCUUGGUAUUCCUUGGAGCAUGCCUGUUUGAGUAUCAUGAAAUCUUCAAAGUAAAUCUUUUGUUAACUCAAUUGGUUUCUACUUUGGUAUUGGAGGUCUUUGCAGCUUCACACCUGCUCCUCUUUGUUCAUUAGCUGGAUCUCAGUGUUAUGCUUGGUUCCACUCGGCGUGAUAAGUUAUCUAUCGCUGAGGACACUGUAAAAGGUGGCCAAGGUAAAUGCAGAUGAACCGCUUCUAAUAGUCCAUUGACUUGGACAAUACUUUUAUGAUCUGAUCUCAAAUCAGGUAGGACUACCCGAUGAAAUUAAG